AUAUGAGGCCCAGUUAGAGGCCUCACUAACCUGGGGAGGUUAGACUUCCAAAUGGGUAGCAGCGGCACCCUUCUGGAUAGACGGCAACCAGAGACCGGGCUUGUCAGACCUGGUCGGGAAACCCGUCUU
rnacentral:sRNA from 12 species